rnacentral:rRNA from 1 species
AUUGAACGCUGGCGGCAGGCCUAACACAUGCAAGUCGAGCGGAUGAAGGGAGCUUGCUCCUGGAUUCAGCGGCGGACGGGUGAGUAAUGCCUAGGAAUCUGCCUGGUAGUGGGGGAUAACGUCCGGAAACGGGCGCUAAUACCGCAUACGUCCUGAGGGAGAAAGUGGGGGAUCUUCGGACCUCACGCUAUCAGAUGAGCCUAGGUCGGAUUAGCUAGUUGGUGGGGUAAAGGCCUACCAAGGCGACGAUCCGUAACUGGUCUGAGAGGAUGAUCAGUCACACUGGAACUGAGACACGGUCCAGACUCCUACGGGAGGCAGCAGUGGGGAAUAUUGGACAAUGGGCGAAAGCCUGACCCAGCCAUGCCGCGUGUGUGAAGAAGGUCUUCGGAUUGUAAAGCUCUGUAAGUUGGGAGGAAGGACAGUAAGUUAAUACCUUGCUGUUUUGACGUUACCAACAGAAUAAGCACCGGCUAACUUCGUG